AGCGUUGUUCGGAAUCAUUGGGCGUAAAGCGCGUGUWKGCGGUUAGUUAAGUCAGAUGUGAAAUCCCUGGGCUCAACCGAGGAAGUGCAUUUGAAACUAAUUAGCUAGAGAGUGGUAGAGGAAGGUGGAAUUCCGUGUGUAGAGGUGAAAUUCGUAGAUAUACGGAGGAAUACCGGUGGCGAAGGCGGCCUUCUGGACCAUUUCUGACGCUGAGACGCGAAAGCGUGGGGAGCAAACAGGAUUAGAUACCCUGGUAGUCCACGCCGUAAACGAUGGGUACUAGAUGUUGCGGGAAUUGACCCCUGCAGUGUCGACGCUAACGCAUUAAGUACCCCGCCUGGGAAGUACGGCCGCAAGGUUA
rnacentral:rRNA from 1 species